GUGAGGUGGAGGCAAAACUCAAAAACUUAGUCUCAGUUCGGAUUGUAGGCUGAAACUCGCCUACAUGAAGCUGGAGUUGCUAGUAAUCGCGAAUCAGCAUGUCGCGGUGAAUACGUUCCCGGGCCUUGUACACACCGCCCGUCACACCAUGAGAGUUGGCAAUACCCAACGUACGUGAUCUAACCCGCAAGGGAGGAAGCGUCCUAAGGUAGGGUCAGCGAUUGGGGUGAAGUCGUAACAAGGUAAC
rnacentral:rRNA from 1 species